AUUGAACGCUGGCGGAAUGCUUUACACAUGCAAGUCGAACGGUAGAGGGGGCAACCCCCUUGAGAGUGGCGAACGGGUGAGUAAUAUAUCGGAACGUGCCCAGUCGUGGGGAUAACGUAGCGAAAGUUACGCUAAUACGCAUACGAUCUAAGGAUGAAAGCGGGGGGACUCGCAAGAGCCUCGCGCGAUUGGAGCGGCCGAUAUCAGAUUAGGUAGUUGGUGGGGUAAAGGCUCACCAAGCCGACGAUCUGCAGCUGGUCUGAGAGGACGGCCAGCCACACUGGAACUGAGACA
rnacentral:rRNA from 1 species